GCAGCCAUGGGCGGCUGAGGGGUGCCCCAGUCCAGAAUCGGCCCGGGCCGGCGGCCAUGGCCGAGGAUUACUGGGACUCGCUAUCGCAGUAGCCGCCGCCAAGUGACUCCAGCCGUUUCCCCACCAUGGAUCGGAUGAAGAAGAUCAAGCGGCAGCUGUCCAUGACGCUGCGUGGGAGCCGGACAGCAGAGAAGAACCUCAACGAGCCCAUCAACCUAGAGGAGAACAACAGCAGCAGCGAUAAUGGCCCCACAGGGAAGAGCGUGCGCCCCAGCACCUCCCGCAGCGUCCACGCCCUCCUGCACCGCUACGCAGGCUCCUUCCGCAGGCCCCGACUGGCCGUCAGCCGCAGCCUGAGUGCCCACCUCAACCGCUCCGCCCGACUAGAAAUUGUCCACGAAGACCUCAAGAUGGGUUCAGAUGGUGAGAGCGACCAGGCGUCAGGGACAUCAUCUGAUGAGGUGCAAUCUCCAGUCCGAGUGCGCAUGAGGAACAACCCAGCACGCAAGAUCUCCACCGAGGACAUUAACAAGCGCCUGUCACUUCCCGCCGAUAUCCGCCUGCCCGAAGGUUACCUCGAGAAGCUCACUCUGAACAGCCCCCUGUUUGACAAGCCCUUGAGCAGACGGUUACGGAGAGUCUCUUUGUCGGAGAUUGGCUUUGGGAAGCUGGAGACGUAUGUGAAGCUGGACAAGCUGGGAGAAGGGACGUACGCCACGGUCUACAAGGGGAAGAGUAAACUCACCGAUAACCUGGUGGCCUUGAAGGAGAUCCGUCUGGAGCACGAAGAAGGAGCACCUUGCACAGCCAUUCGGGAAGUUUCACUUCUGAAAGAUUUGAAACAUGCCAACAUUGUGACCCUGCAUGAUAUCAUCCAUACAGAGAAAUCCCUCACGCUUGUCUUCGAAUAUUUAGAUAAAGAUCUGAAACAGUAUCUUGACGACUGCGGCAAUGUAAUAAAUAUGCACAAUGUGAAGCUGUUCCUGUUCCAGCUGCUGCGGGGCCUCGCCUACUGCCACCGUCAGAAGGUGCUGCAUCGGGACCUCAAGCCCCAGAACUUGCUCAUUAAUGAGAGAGGGGAACUCAAACUAGCAGAUUUUGGACUGGCCCGGGCAAAAUCCAUUCCCACCAAGACCUACUCCAAUGAAGUGGUGACACUUUGGUACCGACCCCCAGAUAUCCUAUUGGGCUCGACAGAAUACUCCACCCAGAUUGACAUGUGGGGUGUGGGCUGCAUCUUCUAUGAGAUGUCCACAGGACGACCGCUCUUCCCAGGCUCCACAGUUGAGGAGCAGCUGCACUUCAUCUUUCGGAUAUUGGGGACUCCCAACGAAGAGACAUGGCCUGGAAUCCAGUCUAAUGAAGAGUUCCGAGCCUAUAAUUACCCUAAAUACCGUCCCGAGGCCCUCAUCAACCAUGCCCCUAGCGACGUCAAUAUUUGCACUAAAGGAGAUUCAGUUACAGAAAGAGACGGGCCUGAGAUCGGCUUCCCUGCCUGAAUCAGGCAGCGCCGCGUUCCGGGUAGUGGACACUGAAUUUUAGCCACCAGGUCAGUGAAUGGGCAGAACGGACGACCAAGCCUGCUGCUUUGAAACCUGUGGAUUGGGGUUGGUGGGGGCAGGAGCUAAGGCAGCUCCCCCACCCCACGGACACUCCCACCGCCGGCUUCGCCAUAUCAGACGGUGGAGCAAGGACUUGUGCUGGGAUUUCGUAGGGGUGAGGGCUGGGGGCAACAAUGCCAAGGAGAAGUGCAGCCUGCCCCAGCACCCGACAGCCAGGCACGGAUGCCCUCCCUCUGCUGCUGUGGAACGGACUGCCCCCCCUCCCCACGUGGUGUUUCAUUUUAUUUUUUAAGUUUUAUUUUUUCAAUGCAAUACUAUAAAUAUUAUAUUUGCAAAUAUCUAUAGAGAGACACCCCUGCCCUCGCCUCUCCAUUUCUGAGGAGUGUACAGUAUUAACUACAAGGGAGCCCACCCCCCUCCCCCCUCGGUUGGGCUGGGGGAGAGAAGCAUGGAGGGAGGAGAAGCAUAGGGCUCACUGUGUCUGGGUCCUAAUCUGCUGUAUAUCUGGGAGCUGUGAACAACGUCAGUGAUUUGGAAGAAGGGAAGCUCUUUAUUUCAUGUGAAAUUUCUCUCUCCCCCACCCCCAAGUCACCUUUCUGUGGACUUGAGGCAAGAUGUUUUCCUGUUGCAGAUACUUGUUUAGGAGCCCAGGUGUUGGACAGGCAAGCAGGUAUCCUCAAGGAUUCCUGGGAGGGAACUCAAUCCCUAUCAGGAUUAUUCAUCUGUCUGGCUUUUCUGCUACAGCGAACCCCCCCUCCCCCCACUGCUUCCAGUUAGAUCUGCCACUUACUUGCUCCUCCUGAUUUUCUCCUCACACCAAAGCCAAGUCCCAUGUUUUCUUCUCUUGCUUGUGUCUUCCUUCGGUCUUGAUUUGUGCCUCGCUCAGGCUCUCCCCACACCCUCAGCCGGUCAGUCUCGGCUGAGUUACUCCUGUUGACCGGUCAUGCCUCUUGCAUUACUUGCAUUACUCAGGGUUUGAUCUUCCUUUGCCUUUGCUGGCCCUGUCCACGGGGAACUUAAACACAGGUGCCAUUUAUUUCAACCAGGCCUGCGUAGGAGAAGUUCCUGGUGGGUUGGGCCUCAUCCACCCCCCACCCUCCGUUUCAUACUUACUUGUCCUGCAAUGCUUAGAUGAUCACUCUUCGUUGCUUGUUCCACGAUCCCUGAAUCCAAACAGCUCUAUUUUUAAUGGUACCACCCAAACUCUUUUGUUACUGAACCCCAACUCCCAUCAGCCCUGAAUAGAAUGGCCAGUGGUCAGGGACAAUGGGAGUUGUAGUCCAGCAGCAUCUGCAGAGCACGACGGUCUUCGUGAAGAGAACCCUUGUCUUGGCCCCUAUUCCACUGUAUUUACUUUCACAGGUGUCUCUGUCAGUCUCUGCAAGCUUAACACCUUCCCCCUUCUGUGUCACCUUUACUUAGUUGCUUCUCAGACUGAAAUCCAAUGACCAGGUCCUACUCUGUCCUGCAUGAAAAGUAAACCAGUAGCUCUUCUGAGGCUCACCAGUUUGCACUCUUCCUUCACUCCCAGGCCAGCCACUCAAGGGUUAAUGGGCCAUUGGCUCAGCUCAGCUCUUUAUGCAGUGAUCUCAGAAGUCACCCAGUUCCUGCCCAAGGGCCAAGCCCAGCUUGUGUCAUCCUACACCAGCACCAGCACUGCUUGGCCUCAUGCUAAGUCUUGACUUCAAAGACUUACUCAUCUUAGCUUCACCUCUUGUUUUUUGCAACACAGAAGCAAGUGGUGCAGAACUGGUGGCCCUCUGGAAGUUGUUGGACUCCAGCUCCCAUCAGUCCCAGGCAGUGUGGCCAAUGAUCAGGGAUGAUGGGAGUUGUAGUCCAGGAAGAUCUAGAAGCCCACAGGUUCUCCAUCCCUGAAGCAAGCUAUCAGUUCCUCAAAGGCCAGUCAAUCCCACAUCUCUACUUACACUAAAUCUUACUUUAAGCAAAGGAAACAUUGGAGAUUCCUGCCUGCCUGUGGGAUCUCCAAAGAUUUUGGCUCACUAUCCUUCCUACUCUGCUGCCGAGAGAUGCCUCAAGAGAAGAGGGAAAUGUCAACCACACUUGUCCCCAGUUUACAAACCCCAACUCUAUUGCAGCUUCCCAGGUGGCUAGGACUGUUCUUUCCAGCUCAGGACAGAGGCCUGGGUGCGAAGAACUAAAGGGAGCAGAUCCAAAGGCUACCCAUUUGCUCUCUGCGUGUUUCUGGACAAAGUGGCACCCGGCCUUCUCUCUUUGAUCACAGCAUAGAGAGAGAGAGAGAGUGAGUGAGUGUGUUUGUGUGUGUUUAUAUGUACAUAUGUAACCAUUUUAUAUACAGCAUGAAGCACUUGUAAGGUUCACAAAUCUCCACCCUCCCACAACGAGAGCCAUAUUAUUAUUAUUAUUAUUCUGAUGAUUAUUACUACUAUUAUAACCUUCAGGCAACAUAAAAGAUAUCUGGGAAGGAGUCUCCUCUAUAUAGGAUAUGCCUUGGGCUGGAAUUCAAGGACUUCACAGCGCAGGGAAAAUUCUGCUUGGCAACUGCCUGGGAGGGCAGACAGAUCUGAGAGCCCCCAGCACGCAAGGCAUGGUCACCCGAUGCCAAAGGAGAGCUGCUGUGAAUAGGCCAAGGGCAAGGGUGUCUAUACAAAGGGGACCCAAUAAGCAGGAAAUGCCAGCCCUUCGGAUUAGAGAAAAGCAACAAAGGGUCUUUGUUUAGCCCAAUAACCUGCCUGCAUGACACACAACCUGUUCCUUGCUUGUUCCAAUUUAGACUCUGGCCUCCCAUUUCCGUUUAGUCUCUUCCAUUGGGUGCACCAUAACUUGUGCUAGGUGGGCCUGUUUCUGAAGCCCAUCCAAUCACAGCUGCCCUCUUCUUACCUGUUUCUUCCUUAGGAGCUGUGGUGAUGCAAAAAGCUCUUUCGGCCUCUGAAUUCUUCAUCCAUUUCUGGGCCGCAGAGGCUAUCAACCCCAUUUCCCAUGGGAGCUUCCAUUCAAGGUGCAUGUGUUCUGUUUCACCCUUGACAGAAUGCUUUCCUGUGGUUUAGCCCUGGCCAUGGUUUGCUGCCUUAAUGCUGAUUAAGGUUUCAGGUAUCCAAUGAAACCUCCGUUUAAUUCGCCAAGCUAAAUCCUUCUCCCACAGGGUGCAGCUGAGUAACAUGGAAAGAAAGAGGCAGGGAAACUGCCUUAACUAUGGUGUUCACUCAAUGCAGAAGUCAUGGUUAGCCACUAAUAACAUAAACUGUUUUAUGAGCCCCACUACAAACCAUGGUUUCAGAUCUUGGUUUGCAGCCUAUCCCUAGCCAUGGUUUAGCUACUGAGACUAAACACUUAAUUGUGGUUGAGGACAAUGGACCAUGGUCAAUUAAGCGUUGGGUCUGCAUUGGACCUGUGGGAGCUCCUUUUUCAGUGCAGUCUGGGUAGAAUAGUGGGGAGAGGCUGGCCAAAGUACAUGGUGCCACUUUUUUGAGGGGGUCCAAAAUCCAAUCUGAUUUGGUUCAUGGAACUGCUUUCCAUUUUGUCUGCUGUUGGCAGAUAAGGAGUGGGAUUAUAGAGUUCAGGGAACUGUAGCAAAAGGGGGACAUAGGUGUGCUGCACCCGUCCACUGGUUCCCCCCCCCCACUCAAAUAAGUGCCAGGGUUCUGAUUGGGCUAAAAUGUAGUGCCCCUCCCCCACCCCUGGAUUGAGAAUUCUCAGAGGUGAACAGGGGGGGACAAAUGCCACAAGAAUUCAACCAGCAUAGAUUUCUUGGGGCACAUCUGGGGAAGAACAUCUGGAUUGGAUCUCUGCGUGUGAGAGGGAAACCCAAAACGAUGUAUUGGACAAUGAAUGUACAGAGGAUCUGGACUUUGCUUUUUUGUGCGUAGCAGGGAUAGAGGAGUUCCCCAGAAUUUGUUUCUGGGCUGGAGGUGAUAAACCAACCCUUCCUUGCAGCAAACUGAAACCCUGGAGCAGAUAAUCGUUCACAUUUGGAGCGGACUUAUCUUCAUGUGGUUCACUGCCCCCUUUGACAGAGUAGAUAUGGAGAUCACUUGUCCUGGUACAGAAAAGGAAAUUCUUGUUCUUGUACAUAACUUGAAUUGAGGGAGCAGCCUUCUAUUUAUCAAAUCAGAAAUUAUCAUUGCAGAAGAAAACUCCCUGGGGAAGGACAUGGGCAGACUUCUCUUUCCCAGGUGCUCCCUUUGCCCCUGUUCAGGGUGAACAGAUGCGCCAUAUUCAAAUGUACGGAACUGAAUAAAAAGUCUCCAACAA